UAAAUAAUCUGGUAAAAAUGUGAUUGUUUACUUCCGGUGCAGGUUACUUUCUUAUAUGCAAUGAAAUGUAGUGUGAAAUUUUCACUGUAGCACUGGAAAGGAUUAAACUUUAUUCAUGCAAAGUAUUUCUUUGGUUGAAAUAAAGUGUUCACAUGUUCUGAAGAGCAUUCUGUUGAAAAAUCUUAUAUGUGAAUUGGUCUGCAGAUGACACUUCAGCAUUAAAACAAAAGAUAUCAAGUUUUGAUGAAAAAGGAAGGAAGGAGGAGAAAUGGACCAAAACAGACCAAAACAGACCUUCAAAUGAACUCUAAAAGGUGCAAUAAAAUUGU